rnacentral:lncRNA from 1 species
CAUAUAAAUUUAUUACAAGCAAAAGGUGUAACACUCCAUUAUAUUAUUUACUUAAAAAUGCUUAAAAACACAGUUACUCUUAAUAUAAAUACGAAUUCUAAAAGUUUAGCACAAUCCAACAAAACUUUUUACAGAAAAGUAAAAGUCAUAUAGAGAUUUCUUAGUUUAUUUUAAAAAAACUUAAUUAUUACAUAAAGCCAAGAUACUUAUUUUUAUUAACACAAAGCUGAGCCCAUCAUAAAAUCUCAAGGUCGGUUAUGCCCAUAUGCACAUCGUCUUGGUUAGGACUUGGCGUCAGCUUGCCCUACUCAUCGUUACCUACAAUGUAAGGACUUAGUGAGCUAAUGCCUAGUACGAUAACACUCUAAUGCAUAUGGAUGACCAUGUUAAGCUCUUAAAAUAAACUUAGAAAAUACAAAACAACUUUGUUUGGGCCCUACGUAUGUUGCACUACAAGGCUGGCACUUUUACUCUUUAAACAUUAUGCCCUUGGGCCUCAUUAGUUGAUCUUUUGGGCAUUACGUAUCGCCAUCCCCAAAAGGUUUCUUUCAACUUAGCUUUGAAGGCUUGCCCUCUUUAGAACUUUGCCACCUGGUAGUACAACCAUCUAUUUUUCCAUAAAUUUAUUUUUUGAAACGUCUUCUUCAUAAUGUAGUCCAUGAUAUGCAUGCAUUCAAUGCAACUUAUAACAUUUGAAAUUCCUCAAUGCAUAACAAAAUCAACACACAACAUUUUUUAAAAAAAGAGUCUUCAAUAUAGGCGGCAUAGCCGACCAUAACAUAAGUAUAAGUAUCACAUAUUAUGUGGUAGAGCCAACCAUGACAUCACAUAUUAGGCGGCAGAUGUAUUGUUAAAACUAAACUUAAGUAUAAAAAUAAUUUCUCCUUACAUUGCAGUUGAAGUGUUACUUACCUUUUGAUCUUGAUUCUCAAAACCUUUAUAAGCUAAGGAUUCCUCUACUCUUGUUAUUAUGACUUAGAAUAUAAGGGAAUGAAAUUUCUAGGUUACAUUUCAAAUGAGAGGUGGUAGGGGGUAUUUAUAGAAUUUCUUAAGGCUAAUGGAUGGGUUGGAUUUUGCCA